GACGCUGAAGCAAGCAACCUCUCGGAGGUGCAAGAGGAAAGAGGGCGUGAGGAAGCCCGUGUGCAGCCAAAGAGGCGGGCCAAGUCGAAGGAGUCGGCUAGGGGUGCUGUUGUUCCUUCGGAUUUGGUAGAAGCCUUCGAAGCAAGGCUGGCCAAGCUGGAGUUGGCCGUGGGGGAUAUCAUGGACACUCUUGACUCGCGGGAGGA
rnacentral:misc_RNA from 1 species